CCAGAAUACGAGGGGCUGCGCACUACC
rnacentral:sRNA from 1 species